CCCUUCCCCUCUUUAAAAGUAAAUAAAUAAAAUCUUUAAAAAUAUUUUUAGAAAGCAGAUUGUAUUUCAUACUGUAGCCUUCAACUGUGUCAGGAAGUCUGACCUGCUGGGGUACCUGUGCUUUGAAGGGUCUGGAAAAAGGGAAAUUACUUUGUUAUUGCAAAGACAUGAUACCAGGCAUAUUAUCCUAGAUGCAAAAAGACGACAGGCUCAGUCAGGGUAUCUACUGACCUUUGUUAGGGAAAAGUACUGCCCUAGGACAGGACUACCUGCCAUGAACUGCUUGGAGUUAGAAGGUUUUCAUCUCAGACCAUCCUAUGUGGUUACUUUAGUCUCUGAGUUUGUAAGGCUGCCAUGCAGGCCUCCCCAGAGCUUCUCAGGUUUACAUGUGGGCCCUUCU